UGGGAUCAUGGGAUGGUGGGAUCACAGGAUCAUGGGAUGGUGGGAUCACAGGAUCACGGGAUGGUGGGAUCACAGGAUGAUGGGAUGGUGGGAUCACAGGAUCAUGGGAUGGUGGAUCACAGGAUGAUGGGAUCAUGUCCAUGUCCCUUCUCCAUGGACCACCCCACAGCAUCUCCCACAACCCCCCGGGAUCCUGGGACCAUGGGAUCACGGGAUGGUGGGAUCACCUCCACCUCCCACACCACCCAUGGUCACCUCCACCCCUUUUCUCC
rnacentral:lncRNA from 1 species